GCGGCUGUAGCUCAGUUGGAUAGAGCGGGGGCUUCCUAAGCCCUAGGUCGGGGGUUCGAAUCCUCCCAGCCGCACCA
rnacentral:tRNA from 1 species